rnacentral:rRNA from 1 species
ACGCUCGACACCUACGGAGGCAGCAGUGGGGAAUAUUGGGCAAUGGGCGCAAGCCUGACCCAGCAACGCCGCGUGAAGGAUGAAGGCUUUCGGGUUGUAAACUUCUUUUAUUCGGGACGAAGAAAAUGACGGUACCGAAUGAAUAAGCCACGGCUAACUACGUGCCAGCAGCCGCGGUAAUCUGAGCGGGCUGGCAAGGC